rnacentral:rRNA from 1 species
AUUGAACGCUGGCGGCAGGCUUAACACAUGCAAGUCGAGCGGAGAGAGGUAGCUUGCUACUGAUCUUAGCGGCGGACGGGUGAGUAAUGCUUAGGAAUCUGCCUAUUAGUGGGGGACAACAUUUCGAAAGGAAUGCUAAUACCGCAUACGUCCUACGGGAGAAAGCAGGGGAUCUUCGGACCUUGCGCUAAUAGAUGAGCCUAAGUCGGAUUAGCUAGUUGGUGGGGUAAAGGCCUACCAAGGCGACGAUCUGUAGCGGGUCUGAGAGGAUGAUCGCACACACUGGGACUGAGCCACGGCCCAGACUCCUACGGGAGGCAGCAGUGGGGAAUAUUGGACAAUGGGCGGAAGCCUGAUCCAGCCAUGCCGCGUGUGUGAAGAAGGCCUUAUGGUUGUAAAGCACUUUAAGCGAGGAGGAGGCUACUUUAGUUAAUACCUAGAGAUAGUGGACGUUACUCGCAGAAUAAGCACCGGCUAACUCUGUGCCAGCAGCCGCCGUAA